GCUGCAUGCAAUGCGAGGGGGGGGGCUCCCCACCACUACCCUACCCCUGUGCAUGGACACUUGCAAGGGGGCAGUCUCACGCAAUAGGGAUGAGGAGGAGGAGGAGGAGGCUAGCGAGCCGAGAAACCAUUCUUCCCAACAGCCAGGAGUUGUUUAUCACGCUGGAGCCAAUACCCGCCCAACCCAAGCUCAUGGACCAUGAAGCCGGAGGAGGCACCUCUGCUGCAAAUGUUUCAACGCUCCCCCUAUCAUCUCCACCCCAGAGGCUAGCGCAGAUAAGAAGGUG